UAGCACAGAUAGGCCUAUGCAGCAAUCGACGUGCAAACCAAUAACAAUCCACUAACUUUCCAAACCACAAGAGAAAACAUUUGUAAAUUUCUUAUCUUCUAACGUGUCAGUUUUGCAAUGAAAACUGCGAAGUGUAGGCGGCGAUAGCGUGGAGUGAGCAAGCAGCAGUAGCCUAUAUACUCGGCGCGGCCAUUCGAGAUUAGGCUUUUAAAAUUCACGAUUUUAACUUUUAGGAAAACGUUUUGUUAGCAGCAGACAGGUGACACCGUUUGGAAAGACCAAACCAAACGCAUGGUCCUCUGAGCAUUGCUAAAAAUAGUUACUUUAAAUAGCAUUUAUUUGUAGGGGAGUUGCAUCGUGGGAUUUACCCACAGAUGGCUGGAGGCGUCAUAUGACAGCUGAGAGAGGUACCAGCGUCCCAAGGCGUGCUUCUUGGCUGCAGCUUUCAGUUUGCAGUCUCCUCCGACAGGAAGGAAGAAGCUGGUCACUCGUUUAGAAGCAAACGGCCCUACUGUCUUCUGCCUUGUCCUGAUUUCAGCCAUGAGACAAAUUCUUUAGCAGCCAGGUCCUGCAGGGGAAGCUGCCAGCUGCUCUGGACGGUGAAGAGGAGCAGCAGCCCGGCCACUGUGCGCACGCCAACCAUCUUGCUUCCCGGCGAAAUUCAGCUGCCGCAGAGGAACACGAACUGUCACAUGUGGAACAUGCAACCUGGGGGUGGGGGGCACCGGGGCGCCUGCCCGAGUAACUUUUGGAGCAUCAUUAAGAAUGCGGCAAUGAUCAGCUGUGAAAAAAUUACCUACAAAUAACUUGUUGUAAACUGAUUAAAUUUAAUUGCUAAAAUCUUGAAUUAUACAUGUUUUUUUCUUUUUUUAACAGAUUAGUUUUGUUGUUUUUCAAAAGCAAACAGGGCAAGUGGGCAAUAAUUUAUGCCCUCCCCUCCCCAAAGAGGUGCGAUAAUAAGUACUCUCCACACGUGCUACAUUACCGCCUCAGAUUCCCCGGUUCAAGUGGCUUGGUUGAGACUUUUCCAGAGGCUCACCUGUGUCCCUGUCAGAGAAGAAGCGCGAGACCACUACCGUGUGGAGUCCUCUGUUGGCUACUCUUGUCUGGCUCCCCAGAGCAGAUUCCUAGUGUCCUUGUGGAGCGCCCAUCCUUAUAUAGUGCAUUCCCAUGACAGUCUACCCAAGUGGUACGCCCCUCGCAAGUCAUUUAGCCCACUCGUUACUCUCAAUCCAUUAGACAAGGCUCUCUUGCGCACAGUGGAUGAUUUUAGUGCACCCUUGUUUAGACUGGUCAUCGCCAUGCCCACAGGUGAUAAGAGCUGGUACUUACGUGUAGAAAUCAAACAGGACGGCAUCCUGUUAAAAAGCAAAGAAAAAGCCUUAUUUCCGAAAUAUGUCUGGUUGUCGCAGCCGAUUGAGAAGCUGAUUGACUAAUUGUAGGUUUUAUGUGGGAAAACAUCACUGGGUUCCACCCCCCCCCCCCCCACAUCAAUCAGGCUCUGGUGUCAACUUGUAAAUUUGCUCAGUGCAACAAAAUUGUACGAUGA